GGACGAACGCUGGCGGCGUGCUUAACCCAUGCAAGUCGAACGCUGAAGCUUGGUGCUUGCACUGGGUGGAUGAGUGGCGAACGGGUGAGUAAUACGUGAGUAACCUGCCCUUGACUCUGGGAUAAGCCUGGGAAACUGGGUCUAAUACUGGAUACGACAUGUCACCGCAUGGUGGUGUGUGGAAAGGGUUUUACUGGUUUUGGAUGGGCUCACGGCCUAUCAGCUUGUUGGUGGGGUAAUGGCUCACCAAGGCGACGACGGGUAGCCGGCCUGAGAGGGUGACCGGCCACACUGGGACUGAGACACGGCCCAGACUCCUACGGGAGGCAGCAGUGGGGAAUAUUGCACAAUGGGCGGAAGCCUGAUGCAGCGACGCCGCGUGAGGGAUGACGGCCUUCGGGUUGUAAACCUCUUUCAGCACGGAAGAAGCGAAAGUGACGGUACGUGCAGAAGAAGCGCCGGCUAACUACGUG
rnacentral:rRNA from 1 species